CCCUAGUUUUGGGUUCACAGCCGUCGACACCGAAGACUCCCUUCUCCUCUCCUUCUCCUGACGCCGAGAAGCGCCGAGCCUAGCCUCCCCGCAUUCCCCAGCGCCGACCACCGCAGUGCCGCGGCCCUUUUUCCUCUUUGGAGCUGUGCGCCGACGCCGACCCUCUUUCGCCGGCCACCAGGUCUGACCCUUAGGCGCCUCUGACUCCAUUGAUCACCAGGUGCUGUCGCGCAACCGAUGGGCCUAGUAGUGCCCUAGUUCUCGCCGCCGCAGCCACCUAGCCUCUGUGCUGCUUGCUGCCACAGAAGAGGGAGGUUCUUGGUUGUGGUUUGAGUGUGGAGGGUUUCCAGCAACAGUUACUUUGUCC